rnacentral:tRNA from 2 species
CGGAGCGUAGCGCAGCCUGGUAGCGCAUCUGCUUUGGGAGCAGAGGGUCGUGUGUUCGAAUCACACCGCUCCGACCA